UACGUAGGGUGCAAGCGUUAAUCGGAAUUACUGGGCGUAAAGCGUGCGCAGGCGGUUUUGUAAGUCUGUCGUGAAAUCCCCGGGCUCAACCUGGGAAUUGCGAUGAGACUGCAAGGCUAGAAUCUGGCAGAGGGGGGUAGAAUUCCACGUGUAGCAGUGAAAUGCGGUAGAGAUGUGGAGGAACACCGAUGGCGAAGGGCAGCCCCUGGGUCAAGA
rnacentral:rRNA from 1 species